rnacentral:rRNA from 1 species
GGCCAGACUCCUACGGGAGGCAGCAGUGAGGAAUAUUGGUCAAUGGCCGGAAGGCUGAACCAGCCAAGCCGCGUGAAGGACGAAGGUGCCAAGCAUUGUAAACUUCUUUUGUCAAGGGACAAAAUCAGGCUUGAGAGCCUGACCGAGGGUACUUGAAGAAAAAGCAUCGGCUAACUCCGUGCCAGCAGCCGCGGUAAUACGUAGGGGGCAAGCGUUAUCCGGAUUUACUGGGUGUAAAGGGAGCGUAGACGGCAGUGCAAGUCUGAAGUGAAAGCCCCGGGCUUAACCCGGGAAUUGCUUUGGAAACUGUACGGCUGGAGUGCUGGAGAGGUAAGCGGAAUUCCUAGUGUAGCGGUGAAAUGCGUAGAUAUUAGGAGGAACACCAGUGGCGAAGGCGGCUUACUGGACUGUAACUGACACUGAGGCUCGAAAGCGUGGGGAGCAAACAGGAUUAGAUACCCCUGUACUC